GAUGAACGCUGGCGGCGUGCUUAACACAUGCAAGUCGAACGAAGCACUCCGAGAUCUUCGGAAGGAAGAGUGACUGAGUGGCGGACGGGUGAGUAACGCGUGGGUAACCUGCCUUACAGAGGGGGAUAACAGUUGGAAACGAUAGCUAAUACCGCAUGACAAUAGGGUACACAUGUACCCUAUUUAAAAGGGGCAAAUGCUUCACUAUGAGAUGGACCUGCGUUGUAUUAGCUAGUUGGUAAGGUAACGGCUUACCAAGGCGACGAUACAUAGCCGACCUGAGAGGGUGAUCGGCCACACUGGGACUGAGACACGGCCCAG
rnacentral:rRNA from 1 species